UACGGAGGAUGCAAGCGUUAUCCGGAAUUAUUGGGCGUAAAGCGUCCGUAGGUGGUUAGCCAAGUCAGCUGUUAAAGCGUGGAGCUUAACUCCAUAUCGGCAGUUGAAACUGGUUAGCUAGAGUGCGAUAGGGGCAAGGGGAAUUCCCAGUGUAGCGGUGAAAUGCGUAGAUAUUGGGAAGAACAUCGGUGGCGAAAGCGCCUUGCUGGGUCUGCACUGACACUGAGGGACGAAAGCUAGGGGAGCAAACAGG
rnacentral:rRNA from 1 species